GGUUAAGCGACUAAGCGUACACGGUGGAUGCCCUGGCAGUCAGAGGCGAUGAAGGACGUGCUAAUCUGCGAUAAGCGUCGGUAAGGUGAUAUGAACCGUUAUAACCGGCGAUUUCCGAAUGGGGAAACCCAGUGUGAUUCGUCACACUAUCAUUAACUGAAUCCAUAGGUUAAUGAGGCGAACCGGGGGAACUGAAACAUCUAAGUACCCCGAGGAAAAGAAAUCAACCGAGAUUCCCCCAGU
rnacentral:rRNA from 1 species